GAACGCUGGCGGCGUGCUUAACACCUGCAAGUCGUACGGUAAGGCCCUUUCGGGGGUCCACGAGUGGCGAACGGGUGAGUAACACGUGAGUAACCUGCCCACAACUUUGGGAUAACGCUAGGAAACUGGUGCUAAUACUGGAUAUGUGCUCCUGCUGCAUGGUGGGGGUUGGAAAGCUCCGGCGGUUGUGGAUGGACUCGCGGCCUAUCAGCUUGUUGGUGGGGUAGUGGCCUACCAAGGCGGCGACGGGUAGCCGGCCUGAGAGGGUGACCGGCCACAUUGGGACUGAGAUACGGCCCAGACUCCUACGGGAGGCAGCAGUGGGGAAUAUUGCACAAUGGGCGCAAGCCUGAUGCAGCAACGCCGCGGGCGGGAUGACGGCCUUCGGGUUGUAAACCGCUUUCAGCAGGGACGAAGCUUUUUGUGACGGUACCUGCAGAAGAAGCACCGGCUAACUACGUG
rnacentral:rRNA from 1 species